UAGAGUUUGAUCAUGGCUCAGGACGAACGCUGGCGGCAUGCCUAACACAUGCAAGUCGAACGAGAAAGUUCCUUCGGGAGCAAUUAAAGUGGCGCACGGGUGAGUAACGCGUAGACAAUCUGCCCUUCAGUCUGGGACAACUUUUCGAAAGGAGAGCUAAUACCGGAUAACAAUGCAUGACACAAGUUGUAUAUUUGAAAGCUUUAUGUGCUGAAGGAGGGGUCUGCGUCCCAUUAGCUAGUUGGUAAGGUAAAGGCUUACCAAGGCAACGAUGGGUAGCGGGUUUGAGAGGACGAUCCGCCACACUGGAACUGAGACACGGUCCAGACUCCUACGGGAGGCAGCAGUGGGGAAUAUUGCACAAUGGAGGAAACUCUGAUGCAGCAAUGUCGCGUGAGUGAAGAAGGCCCUUGGGUCGUAAAGCUCUUUUAUGGGGGAAGAUGAUGACGGUACCCCAAGAAUAAGCACCGGCUAACUAUGUGCCAGCAGCCGCGGUAAUACAUAGGGUGCGAGCGUUGUUCGGAAUUACUGGGCGUAAAGGGCGCGCAGGCGGAAUAGUAAGUCGGAGGUGAAAGCCCGGGGCUCAACCCCGGAGGGUCUUUCGAAACUACUAAUCUAGAGAGGGUCAGGGGCCGGCAGAAUUCCUGGUGUAGAGGUGAAAUUCGUAGAUAUCAGGAGGAAUACCGG
rnacentral:rRNA from 1 species